rnacentral:rRNA from 1 species
GUAGUCCUGGCUGUAAACGAUGUCGACUUGGAGGUUGUGCCCUUGAGGCGUGGCUUCCGGAGCUAACGCGUUAAGUCGACCGCCUGAGGAGUACGGCCGCAAGGUUAAAACUCAAAUGAAUUGACGGGGGCCCGCACAAGCGGUGGAGCAUGUGGUUUAAUUCGAUGCAACGCGAAGAACCUUACCUGGUCUUGACAUCCACGGAAGUUUUCAGAGAUGAGAAUGUGCCUUCGGGAACCGUGAGACAGGUGCUGCAUGGCUGUCGUCAGCUCGUGUUGUGAAAUGUUGGGUUAAGUCCCGCAACGAGCGCAACCCUUAUCCUUUGUUGCCAGCGGUCCGGCCGGGGACUCAAAGGAGACUGCCAGUGAUAAACUGGAGGAAGGUGGGGAUGACGUCAAGUCAUCAUGGCCCUUACGACCAGGGCUACACACGUGCUACAAUGGCGCAUACAAAGAGAAGCGACCUCGCGAGAGCAAGCGGACCUCAUAAAGUGCGUCGUAGUCCGGAUUGGAGUCUGCAACUCGACUCCAUGAAGUCGGAAUCGCUAGUAAUCGUGGAUCAGAAUGCCACGGUGAAUACGUUCCCGGGCCUUGUACACACCGCCCGUCACACCAUGGGAGUGGGUUGCAAAAGAAGUAGGUAGCUUAACCUUCGGGAGGGCGCUUACCACUUUGUGAUUCAUGACUGGGGUGAAGUCGUAACAAGGUAACCGUAGGGGAACCUGCGGCUGGAUCACCUCC